rnacentral:rRNA from 1 species
GACGAACGCUGGCGGCGUGCUUAACACAUGCAAGUCGAACGGUGAAGCACCUUCCUUUUGGUGGGUGUGGAUGAGUGGCGAACGGGUGAGUAACACGUGAGUAACCUGCCCCCUUCUUCUGGAUAACCGCAUGAAAGUGUGGCUAAUACGGGAUAUUCUGGGUCUGUCGCAUGGCGGGCCUGGGAAAGAUAUUGUUUCGGUGGGGGAUGGGCUCGCGGUCUAUCAGCUUGUUGGUGGGGUGAUGGCCUACCAAGGCGGUGACGGGUAGCCGGCCUGAGAGGGUGUACGGUCGCACGGGGCCUGAAGCCCGGCCAGUCCUCCGCCGGGAGGAGGGGGGGGGAAAUAGUGAGCAAUGGGCGCGGACGUGAUGCGGCGCCGCCGGGUGAGGGGUGGAGCCCUUGUGGUUGUACACUUCUUCCGCAAGGGAGAAGGUCCUUCCUCUUGUGUGGGUGGUUUGGGGGUGGCUGGAUGAGGAGCGCGGACAAACUAGGUA